rnacentral:miRNA from 1 species
UAGACUCUGCCUUGUGCCACCA